rnacentral:rRNA from 1 species
AGUGAACGCUGGCGGUAGGCCUAACACAUGCAAGUCGAACGGCAGCACAGUAAGAGCUUGCUCUUACGGGUGGCGAGUGGCGGACGGGUGAGGAAUACAUCGGAAUCUACUUUUUCGUGGGGGAUAACGUAGGGAAACUUACGCUAAUACCGCAUACGACCUACGGGGGAAAGCAGGGGAUCUUCGGGCCUUUCGCGAUUGAAUGAGCCGAUGUCGGAUUAGCUAGUUGGCGGGGUAAAGGCCCACAAAGGCGACGAUCCGUAGCUGGUCUGAGAGGGUGGUCAGCCACACUGGAACUGAGACACGGUCCAGACUCCUACGGGGGGCAGCAGUGGGGAAUAUUGGACAAUGGGCGCAAGCCUGAUCCAGCCAUACCGCGUGGGUGAAGAAGGCCUUCUGGUUGUAAAGCCCUUUUGUUGGGAAAGAAAAGCAGCAGGUUAAUACCCCGCUGUUCUGACGGUACCCAAAGAAUAAGCACCGGCUAACUUCGUG